ensembl:lncRNA
UAAACUUCAUUAGAGAGAGUAUAGUAUGCUUUGUCGCAAAAACUUUGAUUGAUGAGGGUCAUAAAAAUUCAAAUUUAAAAACUAGUUAGAGUUUGUUACAAAUUAAAUAAGAAAACUAGGUUACUGAUUAUCUAUCUAUCUAUCUAUCUAUCUAUCUAAAACAAACAAACAAACAAAAAGUAUCAGAUACAUUCGUUAAACAGUACGUGAGAGUCAAAGCUUGUAACAUUCCAAUUAAAAAACUAUUUAGAGUUUGUUACAAAUUAAAUAAAAAGAAAACUAGGCUAGUGGUUAUCUAUCUAAAACAAAAAAGUAUCAGAUACGUUUGUUAAACACUACGUGAGAGUCAAAAAUCUUGUAACAUUACAUUUUAAAAACUAUUUAGAGUUUGUUACCAGUUAGAAAAGAAAAGAAAAAUACAGAGGUUUGCAGUAUUUGUAUCUUACCGUGAUCUAAAACAAAAAAGAAGCGAACGUUAAGCAAACAGUAGUUUUUCUGUGUUACAAAUCAGGAAAGUUAGCAUUUUGUCACACCGAUAGAAAAAGUUAAAAGAAAAAAAGAUUCCCAGCAAAGCUUACGUUGUUUUCCGUCAGAUCAACCUCACACGCCGCUGACAAACUCAGAAUGAGCUCAGGAGCACUUCAGUUAAGCCACACCUACAACCCUACCCUUAACGCUGGAGGAGUGACCAGCACAAAAUAGAUUGAAAUUUAUGUUAAAAAAUUAAAGUAAUGUUUUUAGUAAAUCGUCAUCAUUUCUUAAUUGGUGAAAACAUUCUACCUGUUUUUAACAUUAGACUGCCGUUUUUUACUUUAAAAUUACGAUCACCUAUACAAGUUUUCUUCUAAACAAUCACCUCCAAGCCACACGAAAAAUUUUUUUAGUUUAGUUUAGUUAUUCACACUUAAUUUAUCAGUCUAAUUCCUUUAAUAUGUCUUUUAUUUUUGUCAGUCUUAACUUCUAACAUGCUAUAUCGGUUAAAACACACACACACACAUAUGCUUGCGCAAAUAUCUAACAGAAACGAAGUGUUUUGGAAUGUCUUUGAUUUCCUUCUGUAACGUUUGUUAUCAGUUGAAAUAGAUGUACAAUGUCUAAACUUUUACAACAUGGUACGAAGCGUAAAUAUUUCGUCUCAAGUAGUGCAGCAAAACGAGAACAGGACUGGGUGUUUGCAUUGUGUGAUUACUGAUGCGAACAUAUCAGUGUAUGGUAUAUUGAAAAGUUGUAAAACAUCUAAAAGUUUUCUGGGUUUGCAACUCAAUUGUAAACUGAGUUUUGAGGGUUCUGACAUUGUAAAUGUUGGUGUUGUGUGUCAACUAAAGUUCAGUGAUCAAAAACAGAUCGUGCUCACUGGUCAAAGGGUGACAAUUUAAACUAUUUUAUGAUCUAGAGCUGUGAGGUGCACUUUGCCAAAGUUUAGCCAAAAGCUCAAUGACAGGUCAAAAGGAUGAGACCUAUGAUUGUUUUUUAACAAGUCAGACUAUGGUAUAGGAAAUUUUGCAUAAUUUUAUUUAGUUAAUUUAGUUUAUUUUAGUUACAUUUAUUAUUUUUAUUCACACCUUGAUUUUUCAAGCCUCAACACAAACAUACACUGCAAAUGCACAUAAGUACACAAAUAUACAAAUAAACAAACUAGGUCACAAACACACACACAUGCAUUUAUGAGACAUACCUAAUACAAACAAGAGAAUUGAGAUCUUUUAUUUCCGAUGUAAGACAGAAGAACUUCAAAUGCAAAUAUCUACCCCGCUGAGAUGAAAGGUCGUGUCUACGCGCCAGGGUAUGUAACAAAGACCAGACAGUCUCUGGCGUAGAUCACGCUAGUAAUAUCACCCCCAGUUAAGUUGUAAAAGAAAAAAAUCUAAAAGAUGUUUCAUCUGUUGUUGCAUGUGCAUAAAUCAACGUUAUACAUUUAUGAGUAUUAAAGAUUUAUGGUAUUAGGGUACCCCCUACGGAUGGUUGUCGGAUUUUACGUGGUGUUCUCAAGUGCCGCCCCACACACCAAGUCCCGUUAAAAACCAAAAGUUUUGUUACGCUCAUUACCUGUAAAAUCUAUCUUCAAGUAGUGCUACGCUGAGAUCUCAACAAUAGAUGAAACAAUGGCUGACAAUUACCAGGCUGGUUUUGAGAAUCAGGAUUUCAGUGAUGGUUUGGAACAGAUCCUUGAAGAGAUAUAUGACCAGGCGGAGCUAUUUGCAUGUGAUGAUGAUGGCACUGUUAAUAACGGUGAGCACAUUGUUUCUGACAGUCACGUGGUGAUAUUACCUACAGAGGGCACGUUACAAGAGGUUGUGGUUAGCUUGGAAUCACAUCACAAACUAAACAACGUCACAAAUCCCACCCCCACCCACGUUCCGUCUUCAGAGGAACAGUCUCACAAGCUCCCAGACUGAGCGAGUGUUCACACCACAGAACAAGGGUAUGACGAAGGCGGCCUAACAGCGUGGACUGAUUCAAUGAUACAUGCGUGGGAUCAAGUGUCCUUCAGUGCUUCGGAAAGCGAGGAAGAGGAGGAAUUACCUCAUGAAAUUCCUCAGGAAUUGUUCCGUGAUCGUGAUUUAAACAGGAGGCUCGAUUAUGCUAUGCUGCCCCAUGUUAAUCGGAACUUUGAGACACUUUUUGACUUGAGCGGACAAACGUUAUUUAUCGGAAAGCAGAAGACAUCAUUGCUAGUGCACAAAGUGAUGUGGUAUCGAUUUUAAGAAAUAUCAUAGCGUGUCAACAACAACACAAAGAAUCCUUACGUCACGCGGCUGAGUUUUGGAGCAGUUGCCACGAACAACUGUAUGGUGAAUUCCGACAGUUUCAGCAGAGCAUGAGUGCCGUACUGGCGGAAAUCCAUGAGGUACAAAUCGAGCAACGUCUUACGGUUAAUGCCUUAUCGCUGAUUACUGAACGUUUAAAUCUUAUUCAAAGAAUGUUAACAGAUUUGUUCAAUCGUAUGAUGAGAGGUUGUCCGUGAUAUGUAUUGAAUUGUUGAUUGUUUUUGUUUUGUGUUAUUGACAUCGAUUCAUUAUUAUCAUUGGUUAUUUCUUAAUUUAUUACUAUUGUUUGUUACUGACAACGAAUCUUUAUUAUCAUUGGUUAUUUCUUACAUUUAUUAAUAUUGUUUGUUAUAGACAUUGAUUUAUUACAUGCAUUAUUGUAUGUUAUUGCCAGCCAUUUGGCGUUGUUUUACUUAUGGAGAAAUGGUGGUUUUGAAUUUAUACUGUGCAUAUCUGUUUUGUUAUAUCUGGUUAUGUCGCAUUGUGAAUGGUGUUGCUGUUUUCAGGAGUGUACACGUUUGUCUUAAGCUUGAAAAAGGUGUAUUUCUGAUUUUUAAAAUAAAAACAAUAAUAAUUCAAAAUGAGCAGUAAAAGAUGUCACGAUGAUUUACAUCCCCACACUUCAAAAGAUGAUCAGAGAUCAUUAAGACAUGAUUUUCCCAGACACGAUUUUCAAAACAAUAGCGAACAGUUACGUGAAAUGAUUAACAAUCAUUUUCAGAUGUUACAGCCUGAUUCGCU